rnacentral:rRNA from 1 species
CGGGGGUGCCUUCGGGAGCUGUGAGACAGGUGCUGCAUGGCUGUCGUCAGCUCGUGUUGUGAAAUGUUGGGUUAAGUCCCGCAACGAGCGCAACCCUUAUCCUUUGUUGCCAGCGGUCCGGCCGGGAACUCAAAGGAGACUGCCAGUGAUAAACUGGAGGAAGGUGGGGAUGACGUCAAGUCAUCAUGGCCCUUACGACCAGGGCUACACACGUGCUACAAUGGCGCAUACAAAGAGAAGCGACCUCGCGAGAGCAAGCGGACCUCAUAAAGUGCGUCGUAGUCCGGACUGGAGUCUGCAACUCGACUCCAUGAAGUCGGAAUCGCUAGUAAUCGUGGAUCAGAAUGCCACGGUGAAUACGUUCCCGGGCCUUGUACACACCGCCCGUCACACCAUGGGAGUGGGUUGCAAAAGAAGUAGGUAGCUUAACCUUCGGGAGGGCGCUUACCACUUUGUGAUUCAUGACUGGGGUGAAGUCGUAACAAGGUAACCGUAGGGGAACCUGCGGUUGGA